rnacentral:rRNA from 1 species
GGACGACGUUGGCGGCGUGCUUAAUACAUGCAAGUCAACUGAAGCACCGGUAGUAAUACUGGUGUGGAGGUGGCGCACGGGUGAGUACACGUAGGUAAUCUGCCUUCAGGUCUGACAUAACCCCGAGAAAUCGGGGCUAAUAGCAGAUGAUGCAGCGGCUUGACAUCAAGACAGUUGUUAAAGCUUCGGCGCCUGAAGAUGAGCCUGCGUCUGAUUAGCUAGUUGGCGGAGUAAUGGCCCACCAAGGCUACGAUCAGUAACUGGUCUGAGAGGAUGAUCAGUCACACUGGAACUGAGACACGGUCCAGACUCCUACGGGAGGCAGCAGUUAAGGAAUAUUGCUCAAUGGGAGAAAUCCUGAAGCAGCAACGCCGCGUGAGGGAUGAAGGGCUUUUGCUCGUAAACCUCUGUAGUGAGGGAAAAAAUUUCCACUCUGUGGAAUAUGAUGGUACCUCAAAAGUAAGCCCCGGCUAACUACGUG